rnacentral:rRNA from 1 species
AUUGAACGCUGGCGGCAGGCCUAACACAUGCAAGUCGAACGGUAACAGGAAGCAGCUUGCUGCUUUGCUGACGAGUGGCGGACGGGUGAGUAAUGUCUGGGAAACUGCCUGAUGGAGGGGGAUAACUACUGGAAACGGUAGCUAAUACCGCAUAACGUCGCAAGACCAAAGAGGGGGACCUUAGGGCCUCUUGCCAUCGGAUGUGCCCAGAUGGGAUUAGCUAGUAGGUGGGGUAACGGCUCACCUAGGCGACGAUCCCUAGCUGGUCUGAGAGGAUGACCAGCCACACUGGAACUGAGACACGGUCCAGACUCCUACGGGAGGCAGCAGUGGGGAAUAUUGCACAAUGGGCGCAAGCCUGAUGCAGCCAUGCCGCGUGUAUGAAGAAGGCCUUCGGGUUGUAAAGUACUUUCAGCGGGGAGGAAGGGAGUAAAGUUAAUACCAUUGCUCAUUGACGUUACCCGCAGAAGAAGCACCGGCUAACUCCGUG